rnacentral:rRNA from 2 species
GAUGGCUUCUCGCUAUCACUUCUGGAUGGACCUGCGGUGCAUUAGCUUGUUGGUGGGGUAAUGGCCUACCAAGGCGAUGAUGCAUAGCCGAGUUGAGAGACUGAUCGGCCACAAUGGGACUGAGACACGGCCCAUACUCCUACGGGAGGCAGCAGUAGGGAAUCUUCCACAAUGGGCGCAAGCCUGAUGGAGCAACACCGCGUGAGUGAAGAAGGGUUUCGGCUCGUAAAGCUCUGUUGUUAAAGAAGAACACGUAUGAGAGUAACUGUUCAUACGUUGACGGUAUUUAACCAGAAAGUCACGGCUAACUACGUGCCAGCAGCCGCGGUAAUACGUAGGUGGCAAGCGUUAUCCGGAUUUAUUGGGCGUAAAGAGAGUGCAGGCGG